GAAACGACCGCUAAUACCGCAUACGAUCCAAUCUAGGCAUCGAGACUGGAUGAAAGGUGGCCUCUAUUUAUAAGCUAUCACUGAAGGAGGGGAUUGCGUCUGAUUAGCUAGUUGGAGGGGUAACGGCCCACCAAGGCGAUGAUCAGUAGCCGGUCUGAGAGGAUGAACGGCCACAUUGGGACUGAGACACGGCCCAG
rnacentral:rRNA from 1 species